GGGAGAGAGAGGAGGGACAGCCAACCCAAGGCUGGUGGACUGCAGCUCAGCCAGGGAGCCAGGAGCUUCCCUGGCCUCAGGGAGCCCUGUAUGUAGGAACCCCAACCCUGCCUGCUCUCAAGGCCCUCACCAGUCCUUGCCGGGACCCCAGCAGCAGCGAGAUGGACCCGUCUCUCUCAGCCCCUCCAGGGCAGAGCUGGCACUGGGGGCUGUGCAUUCCCACCAGCCCACGUUGGAGACUUGAACACAUCUUCCCUGAGGAAGAGGCUACACGGGCAGGUAGGUUGGGGUGCUUCCGAGCCUGGACUCUAGGGAAGGCCCCCACACCCUAUGUAAGGCAGAGUCCAACCCACCGUCCCCACCACAUGGUGCCUUAGCUGCAGACCCAGCCUCCAGCCCCAGCUGCUGCUCCUGAGGUUACUCCAGACGGCUGUGCCUGGCAGGGCAGAGCUGGGCCCCGAGAGGAGCCAAAUGGCACCUGGAAUUUAGACCCAUGCCCUCUGCUGUGUUCAGAUGGGACGUCCCGUGCCGCACCUGAAGAUCUCCUUGUCAGCCUCUUCCCCUAAGUGCCUCCAGCAGGUUCCUCCUGGUACUGGACAAACACCAGUUCUGCCCAUGUCAGGGAUCUCGUCGAUGGAACUGAAGACAAGCCUGCGGCUUCUCACCGCUCACAGCUUCUUGAUCAACCUCCGUCAGGAUGGGGUCAACAGCACCGGUCCCUUGCACUGUUUGCUCUCUGACCGCCACAGAGUCACCGUGCUCUUUGGAAGCAGAGGACAGUGGCCCCAGGUUAUUUUGUUCUGCAGAAAGAAGGUCAGAGGAUCACCCUCACCACAGUGAGAUCCCUUCGUCCCUGGCACUUCCUUCUCAUGGCUCGGCCCCAAGUCUUAACAGCCCUUCCCUAACUGAUAACUGUCAUUCUAGAAACCACUAGUUAUGAAAUGUGCCUUCGCUCCACACUUGGUUUGUUCCAGCAGAUUUCUAAUCUGAAGCUAGGGAUCAGCAAGUCACCCCUUAGGUUGGCCCUGGAUGGGGUGCGGGGUCCUGGCUGUGGGAGCUGAGACCUGUAUGGGAGGCCCCAUAUUCAGGAGGAGCACUGUAGAAAAGCCCCCAGGGUUCCAAGAAGCCCUCUUUAGAAAGUAACAAAGUUAAAGACGAUACUUUCCAGAUUUCAGAGAUUUCCCAAUAAAACCCGAAUCCUUCCUUUCAAAAAGUAGACCAGGAUAGUAGUGCGGUCGUUAUUAAAAGAUCCAGCCGUUUAAAUUGCAGGCAUCAAAAAUCAUCCAGGACCAGCCUGUCCUCUGGCUCUGUGCCCACAUUGUCAUUUGAUUAAUAAGAAUAUACAUUUCCCUGUCCUGCAGACUAUCAAGUCGGGAAGGAGAAAGUGUUGAAGGCCGCGUGGGGCCCAGGAAGAGGGGGACUCUACUCCAGUGGUCAUUUCAGCUGCACAUGUGGGGACGGUCCCGUGCUGGGUGCACACAUGCUGAGAAGAUCGGGCCGUGGUGGUCUCUUCUAGAUUCUUCUGCCUUUUGGAUACAAGGUCCCGGCUUGCUCUCCAUGCUGCCUUGCAAAGCUUCCAUUUGUCUUCUAUGAAAAUCACUCAGCUGCCCGCCCAGGGUGGUGCUGUGGGUGGACGUGCUCACGCCCAGCCCCCAUGGGCAGUCCGUGGUGGGCCUGCACCUCUCUCUCCCAGGAGAGGGGAAGCAGGAAGGGCCGUCCACAGCAUGUGGUCACCAUAUGCAGAUGGAAGCACCAGGUGGGUGGCAGUGUCCACCACCCAUCCUUCUGUCAUGAAGAUGGACACUUGCUACCCACAGACUAAAAGCAUUUCCCACGGACUCAGCUGAAAUGUUGGAUUCUGGCAGAUGAUUUGCAAUCUGCUUAGUGGGACGCUGACAGACAGAAUGUUUACUUCUCAGAGUGAGAGUUCCUCAUUCCACCUUUUGUGCCUUUUUUUUUCCUUAUGGUUGUUAAUCAAAACCUUUUAACUUUUAAUUUUAAGUGAAAGAAGAUAGCCUUUGAAAAUUUGUCAAUCACUUCUCUAUCCCAGAGCUAGCAAAUCCUCUGGGAGGUUUCCCUUGAUCUGGGACACAUAACUUAAAGUAAAGGAGUGAGUCCACAAAGACUCUCUGGUGAACUGGAGUGAACUGGCUGUGUUAGUCUGUUUUCAAUUACUGUAUUGAAACACCUGAGACUGGGUACUUAUAAGGAAAAGAGGUUUAUUAACUCCUGGUUCUGGAGGUUCAAGGCUUG
rnacentral:lncRNA from 1 species